AACGCUGGCGGCGUGCCUAAUACAUGCAAGUCGAACGGUCUUUCUAUGGAAGCUUGCUUCCACUGAGAGGAUAGUGGCGAACGGGUGAGUAACACGUGGGUAACCUGCCCAUAAGAGGGGGAUAACAUCCGGAAACGGGUGCUAAUACCGCAUAGUUUUCUUGAUCGCAUGAUUGAGAAAGGAAAGAUGGCCUUUGUGCUGUCGCUUAUGGAUGGACCCGCGGCGUAUUAGUUAGUUGGUGAGGUAACGGCUCACCAAGACGAUGAUACGUAGCCGACCUGAGAGGGUGAUCGGCCACAUUGGGACUGAGACACGGCCCAAACUCCUACGGGAGGCAGCAGUAGGGAAUCUUCCGCAAUGGACGAAAGUCUGACGGAGCAACGCCGCGUGAGUGAAAGAAGGUUUUCGGAUCGUAAAACUCUGUUGUCAGAGAAGAACAAGUUGGAGAGUAACUGCUCCAGCCUUGACGGUAUCUGACCAGAAAGCCACGGCUAACUACGUGCCAGCCGCCGC
rnacentral:rRNA from 1 species